GACGAACGCUGGCGGCGUGCUUAACACAUGCAAGUCGAGCGGUAAGGCCCUUUCGGGGUACACGAGCGGCGAACGGGUGAGUAACACGUGGGUGACCUGCCUUUAGCUCUGGGAUAAGCCUGGGAAACUGGGUCUAAUACCGGAUACGACUCCGCGGUGCAUGCUGUGGGGUGGAAAGCCUUGUGCGGCUGGAGAUGGGCCCGCGGCUACCAGCUUGUUGGNGGGGUGAUGGCCUACCAAGGCGACGACGGGUAGCCGGCCUGAGAGGGCGACCGGCCACACUGGGACUGAGACACGGCCCAGACUCUACGGGAGGCAGCAGUGGGGAAUCUUGCGCAAUGGGCGAAAGCCUGACGCAGCGAC
rnacentral:rRNA from 1 species